AACGAACGCUGGCGGCAUGCCUAACACAUGCAAGUCGAACGAGACCUUCGGGUCUAUUGGCGCACGGGUUCGUAACGCGUGGGAACCUGCCCUUAGGUUCGGAAUAACUCCCCGAAAGGGGUGCUAAUACCGGAUAAUGUCUUCGGACCAAAGAUUUAUCGCCUUUGGAUGGGCCCGCGUUGGAUUAGCUAGUUGGUAGGGUAAAAGCCUACCAAGGCGACGAUCCAUAGCUGGUCUGAGAGGAUGAUCAGCCACACUGGGACUGAGACACGGCCCAGACUCCUACGGGAGGCAGCAGUGGGGAAUAUUGGACAAUGGGCGAAAGACUGAUCCAGCAAUGCCGCGUGAGUGAUGAAGGCCUUAGGGUUGUAAAGCUCUUUUACCCGGGAUGAUAAUGACAGUACCGGGAGAAUAAGCUCCGGCUAACUCCGUG
rnacentral:rRNA from 1 species